CCUACGGGCGGCAGCAGUAGGGAAUAUUGCUCAAUGGGGGAAACCCUGAAGCAGCAACGCCGCGUGCAUGAUGAAGCUUUUCGGCUUGUAAACCCCUUUUUUUAGAGAAGAUAAUCACUGUAUCUAACGCAUAGGCACCGGCUAACUCCGUGCCAGCAGCCGCGGUAAUACGGAGGGUGCAAGCGUUACUCGGAAUCACUGCGAGGAAAGAGCGCGUAGACGGGAUAGCAAGUCAGAUGUGAAAUCCUAUGGCUUAACCAUAGAACUGCAUUUGAAACGGUUAUUCUAGAGUAUGGGAGAGGUAGGUGGAAUUCUUGGUGUAGGGGUAAAAUCCGUAGAGAUCAAGAGGAAUACUCAUUGCGAAGGCGACCUGCUAGAACAUAACUGACGCUGAUGCGCGAAAGCGUGGGGAGCAAACAGGAUUAGAUACCCGGGUAGUC
rnacentral:rRNA from 1 species